rnacentral:rRNA from 1 species
GACGAACGCUGGCGGCGUGCCUAAUACAUGCAAGUUGAGCGCUGAAGGUUGGUACUUGUACCAACUGGAUGAGCAGCGAACGGGUGAGUGACGCGUGGGGAAUCUGCCUUUGAGCGGGGGACAACAUUUGGAAACGAAUGCUAAUACCGCAUAAAAACUUUAAACACAAGUUUUAAGUUUGAAAGAUGCAAUUGCAUCACUCAAAGAUGAUCCCGCGUUGUAUUAGCUAGUUGGUGAGGUAGAGGCUCACCAAGGCGAUGAUACAUAGCCGACCUGAGAGGGUGAUCGGCCACAUUGGGACUGAGACACGGCCCAAACUCCUACGGGAGGCAGCAGUAGGGAAUCUUCGGCAAUGGACGAAAGUCUGACCGAGCAACGCCGCGUGAGUGAAGAAGGUUUUCGGAUCGUAAAACUCUGUUGGUAGAGAAGAACGUUGGUGAGAGUGGAAAGCUCAUCAAGUGACGGUAACUACCCAGAAAGGGACGGCUAACUACGUG